rnacentral:tRNA from 1 species
AAGACGUUAGUAAAACAAUUACACUACCUUGUCAUGGCAGAAUCACGGACUAAGCCCUCCGUACGUCUUA